GAGUUUUCGCUUGAACAAACGCAACAGGAAAAGGAUCUCAUCUAGGGUCAUCAUUUGACUUUGCACUUACUUUCUUGCCUCUUUUCAUUGCCAACAACGAUGCUGAUCUCUACGAGGGAUGCUUUCGAGAAGCGCCACAUCACCCGCGAGGAUGGCAUAGAGGUGUUGCCUCGUCAAAUGAUCACAGUGGCCGCUCUCGAGGCUGGCUACUGCCUGUCCUCGCCCACGAUUGGCGAGGCGGUGAGCAAGACCACGUAUCCUGGUCAGAUGACUGCCUACGAGUUCACCGAGUUCUGCGAAGAUAACAAGUCAUCGCUAAUGUCGGCUGAGGACAUGGCGAAAUGUGUUGUUGUGGUGGCCCCGGCGCAUGUUAUCACACGCAGGUCGCUGGAGGAAAUCAUGGCCAAGGGCAGCUCCAAGAAAGAUGCCCUCUCCGACGAGGAGGUGGACGCUCUCUUUAGCACCCUAGACACUGAAAACAAGGGUGCUAUCACUGACAAAGACUUCAUGCGUGCUCUUUAUGGUGACCUGGGUGUGCGCUGCCUUGCGGCGCGCCGCAAGCUGGACGCAUUGGAGGCUAAGCGUCGCGAGCAGGAGGCCCUCGACCGGGCGAAAGCGGAGGAGAGGAUGGAGGAAGAGAGGAAAGCCGCUGCCGGAAAGGAGGCUUCGAAUUCCCUACCAAAGAAAGAGGAGAAGAAGAAGAAGGCUUUUGCAUGCUGCUAAAACCGUCUGUUUAUCGCUCUGUACUCGCUUGCGGUGGGCGCUGGCAUGACGAGCUCGAAGAGCCACCACCGUGAUCGCCAGUGCAUUCGAAGAGCAAGUGGUGUUGCGCUGCCUUUCUUGUAUGAUGUUUGUGGAGUCUUCUGCGAUCAGCGCGCUUACAAAGCAGGUGCAAAGCCUUACAACGUGGAGGAAAGUUGAUGAGACAGCUGAGGGCUAUUAACGUUCGAGGGUGCGCCUUAGGUUGAGACAAUAGGUUCCGAGAUCAACUACCACCAGUGCACACGCUAAAGAGUGUUAUCGCUCGCGUUUCAGGUGUCUUGACGUGGCAUGGUGGUGUUUUUUUUGUUCCAUCUCUUUAUGGCUGAGUAGUGGAUUAGGAUUUGGACUGCAGUUUUUGCGCGUUAGUUCGAAGAAAUAAAUGGGAGGCAGACAAGCACACACAUGCACACACACACACACACAUAUGCAAGAAAGCGCAUCCGCAGCGGACAUGUACGCUUUGAUUCAUUUAUGUACUCUCCUUUUUUUCUUUCUCGCUUUCUCACUGUAUCUCGGCUCUUUUGUUUGUUUAUCUCCUCGCAAGGAGAGAGUGGUGCGCUAAAGUCUUUUCUUUGAAAGAAGGGCAAAAAACAACAGAGGCAGCACGACCGAAACAAAGAAAAAAAGGGCGAUGCAGCGAGUUUGUAUCUUUCUUUUUCGUUUUCCUGUACGAUUUGUUUUUGUCCUUCUUCACGGCCCUUGAUGAUACCGGCCACCUCAGUGUGGUAUCAGGGUUCAGUGCCCAUUCCCUGGGGGCGCCAAGGGCCUGCACAGCCUGCCCUCGGGUACGGCUGCGGACUUUUGGUGCCGGCGGACAGGUCUGGGCUGGCGCGGUGCUGAAGUGGCUUGCGGUGAUGAUCACGCUUGGGCCAGCUCACUACGAAUCGUGUCGGCGAUUCAGCAAAUGUACGCAUCCGCCUACUGCUUUUCUGCUUUAGCUGCGUCGCGGUGAUGUGGAGUGUAAGCCUGGACCUAGCCUGCACCGUAUGCAGUGGGCCUUAACGGCGCCCAACGGUGCUGGUUGACGCGGUUCCUGGACAUAGCCGCAGUGAGCAGCAGAGGUAGGGAGGCCGUGGCUGUAUGCGCAUAUUAGCUGACCUGUUUGUGGGACAAUGACACGUUGAAGAGGAUCUUUUUUUUUCGCGUUGAUUCCUCAAGGCUAAAUGAGUAAGCGAAACAGAUGGGAUCACACCACCUCAACAGCAUACGCGCUCUCUUGGAUGAGCUGGAUGG
rnacentral:misc_RNA from 1 species